rnacentral:rRNA from 1 species
GAUGAACGCUGGCGGCGUGUCUAAUACAUGCAAGUCGAGCGAACGGACGAGAAGCUUGCUUCUCUGAUGUUAGCGGCGGACGGGUGAGUAACACGUGGAUAACCUACCUAUAAGACUGGGAUAACUUCGGGAAACCGUAGCUAAUGCCGGAUAAUAUUUUGAACCGCAUGGUUCAAAAGUGAAAGACGGUCUUGCUGUCACUUAUAGAUGGAUCCGCGCUGCAUUAGCUAGUUGGUAAGGUAACGGCUUACCAAGGCAACGAUGCAUAGCCGACCUGAGAGGGUGAUCGGCCACACUGGAACUGAGACACGGUCCAGACUCCUACGGGAGGCAGCAGUAGGGAAUCUUCCGCAAUGGGCGAAAGCCUGACGGAGCAACGCCGCGUGAGUGAUGAAGGUCUUCGGAUCGUAAAACUCUGUUAUUAGGGAAGAACAUAUGUGUAAGUAACUGUGCACAUCUUGACGGUACCUAAUCAGAAAGCCACGGCUAACUACGUG